rnacentral:rRNA from 1 species
UACGUAGGGGGCAAGCGUUGUCCGGAUUUAUUGGGCGUAAAGAGCGUGUAGGCGGCCGCACAGGUCCGUUGUGAAAACUGGAGGCUCAACCUUCAGACGUCGAUGGAAACCGUGCGGCUAGAGUCCGGAAGAGGAGAGUGGAAUUCCUGGUGUAGCGGUGAAAUGCGCAGAUAUCAGGAGGAACACCGGUGGCGAAGGCGGAUCUCUGGGCCAUUACUGACGCUGAGGAGCGAAAGCGUGGGGAGCGAACAGG